CAUCAUUAAAGCUUGCUUUGAUGGAUGGCGACCGGCGCACGGGUGAGUAACACGUAUCCAACCUGCCGACAACACUGGGAUAGCCUUUCGAAAGAAAGAUUAAUACCGGAUGGCAUAGUUUUCCCGCAUGGGAUAAUUAUUAAAGAAUUUCGGUUGUCGAUGGGGAUGCGUUCCAUUAGGCAGUUGGCGGGGUAACGGCCCACCAAACCAACGAUGGAUAGGGGUUCUGAGAGGAAGGUCCCCCACAUUGGAACUGAGACACGGUCCAAACUCCUACGGGAGGCAGCAGUGAGGAAUAUUGGUCAAUGGACGAGAGUCUGAACCAGCCAAGUAGCGUGAAGGAUGACUGCCCUAUGGGUUGUAAACUUCUUUUAUACGGGAAUAAAGUGAGCCACGUGUGGCUUUUUGUAUGUACCGUAUGAAUAAGGAUCGGCUAACUCCGUGCCAGCAGCCGCGGUAAUACGGAGGAUCCGAGCGUUAUCCGGAUUUAUUGGGUUUAAAGGGAGCGUAGGCGGGUUGUUAAGUCAGUUGUGAAAGUUUGCGGCUCAACCGUAAAAUUGCAGUUGAUACUGGCGACCUUGAGUACAACAGAGGUAGGCGGAAUUCGUGGUGUAGCGGUGAAAUGCUUAGAUAUCACGAAGAACUCCGAUUGCGAAGGCAGCUUACUGGAUUGUAACUGACGCUGAUGCUCGAAAGUGUGGGUAUCAAACAGG
rnacentral:rRNA from 1 species